rnacentral:tRNA from 1 species
GCCUGGCUGGCUCAGUCUGUAGAGCAUGUGACUUUUGAUUUUGGGGUCGUGAGUUCAAGCCCCAUAUUGGGCA